UAGCCAGGCUCCUGGCUUGUGAUUUCGAUCAGGCAGUAUGUUGAACAGCUACGUAGAACAUGGGAUCAGGGCUGCGGAGGGCACGCAUUUGUGCACAACAGCUUGUAGAGAUUGGACUCAGCUAACAGAAAUGUUUGGGUUAAUGUUCAUCCGGAGGACGAGCAGCUCUCGGCCCUGCAGCCGGCUGAGCAGCCUGAGGAAACUUCCGCUGCAAAGAAACUGCUCCUCUAAAAUGUCGUCCGAUUCCCAUUGGCUCAGCCCUGCAGACCGGGAUCAGCUGGUGAUGGAGCUCAGGGUGACAGGCUGGAUGGAGGUGGAGGAUCGUGAUGCCAUCUUCAAGGAGCUGCACUUUAAAACUUUUAAUCAGCUUUACAUUUUGGGUAUAGACCAGAGGUCUGCAACUCCAGUCCACGAGUGCCGCACGUCCUGCAACCGUUGGAUGCAUCCCUGCUCCAGCACACCUGAAUCAAAUGAAUGGUUAAUGACCAGGUCUUUGCAGAACUUGCUGACGUGCCAAGGAGCUGACGGUUGUCUCCAGCAUGAAGCUCUUUUUGGCAUCUAGAAGGUUCAUCUCAUUCUGAGAUAAGAUAUCCAGAGAAAAGCUGCAAGGCGUUCGGCUUCAUGUCACGUGUGGCUCUGCAGGCAGAGAAGAUGAACCAUCACCCAGAGUGGUUCAAUGUUUAUAAUAAGCGAUCCGAGGUUCACUGAGCUUCUGGCAAGCGGAGCUGCGGCACUCUAUGGGAUACUGCGCCGAAAGCGCCGGAGGGGGAAAUGUGCUGGCGCCCUGGUAAAACACCGCGAAAGAGGACUUCGCACACCACUGCCUUCAAUCCAUCUGGCAACCUCAACAACACCGUAGCAGCUGUGGACCACUUCAGGUUCCUAGGAACCACCAUCUCUGAGGACCUGAGAUGGUCUUCACAUAGACACUGUUCGAAAGAAGGUCCAGCAGAGACUGUACUUCCUGAGGCAACUCAAGAAGUUCAACCUUCCACCUUUAGCAACAAUGCCACUCUUGUAUAGUUGUUUUUUUGUUGGCUUAUAUCAGUUUCCCACUUUGCCCCCUCUUCUUUACAACAUUGCUUCAGUUCAUUGAGGUUUGCAGACAUCUCUAAAGGUCCCAACGCAGCAUUUGAGUUAGGCUGAGAUCUGGAUUUAAGGUGACUUGAACCUUUUCCAGGUAUGUUGACCCAGUUUGGAUCAGGUUUCAUCUGUUGGACAGAUGGCCUCAUAAUUGGCUCCAAAAUAUUGUGGUAAUCAGUGGAGUUCAUGGUCAACUUAAUGAUUGUAAGGUUUACAAAACAAUACCAAAUCAUCGCCUCUCCACCUCAGUUGUUAUGAGAUGUUUGUGCUGGUAUGCUGUUUGGUGGUCACCAAACAUGGUGCUGUGCAUUAUGGCCAAAUGGCCGUUCUUUGGUCUUUUCUGUCCGAACUACAUCGUUCCCGAUGUUUUGCCGAUCUCUCAGAUGCAACUUUGGAAAUCUAAGACAAGUUGCUAUAAUCUUUUUAGAUUUAAAAAGGCCUUUUAAUUUAAUAAUAACAUAAUCCUUUCCAGUCAUAAAUGUCUUCCACUUGUGAAUAACCUGAACUUCUGAUUGUUUGGAAUUUGCCUUGUAGCCCUUUCCAGAUAGAUUUGUAGUAGAAUUUGCAUCACUAAGGCCAUUGCUGAUGUCUUUCCAUCCUAGCAUUGUGUUAACACACACAUCUGUCAGCUGAAGAGCAACUAAACCUGCUCACAAUCAGUUUAUCCAAUUCUUUUGAUUAGGAUUACUUGCCUACUUUCCCUUUUUAAUUAACUGAGUUGAUUUUCAUAUAUACUUCUGUCUAUAAACUGGUUUAAUUUUGUAGAGUGCCUUGAGAUGGCAUUUGUUGUGUACGAUGUAGUAUAAGGCCCACCUAAGAUCAUUAUUUUUUUGAAAAUUAUAAGAAUAGUCAUAAUGUUAAGAGAAAAGAGUAAUUUCACAGAGAAAAAAGCUGCAAUACUUAUAAAGAUCUGACAUGACCAGCUCAACCAAACAGCAGCCUCAGUUUGAGCCCAGCAGCCGAUGUCGUACCGUACCGUCAACAUGUAAGCUAACAUAUUAUCCUAAUGUUACAGCUUCAUUCUUGCAAUAUUAUGACUUUAUUCUCGUAAUUAGAAAGUAGUUAAUCAACGCUUUAUAAAUAAAGUAAAUUGAAGUAGCAGUGGUGUACUUACUUAUUCGAGACACAUCAUUUUUGCUUGAAAAUGACGAUGUGGAAUCUGUUGUGUGGCAAAUGUAAAUAUUGGUAAAAACCAAAUUAUUUGUAUGUCCUAAUACGUAGAACCCCAAAACUGGAAGGGGAUGUACUUACUUUACUAUGGCUGCACAGUAUUUUGGAAAAGUCCUUAGUCAUCCCAUUCUUAUGUUUUACCUUCAAAGAGCCAGACCUUCAUGCAGUUUCUCAGGCUACUUUCACACUUGUUCUGAAAAGUCUGAUCUGGUCACUUGAGCCCAGAAAAAUCCGAUUCGGGGCCACAUUUGCCUGCAGUGUGAACAGGGGCCUUAAAAUGGUCUUCAUCAGUAGUUCUGGACUUUCUGAAGGUCUUUGAAACCCUCUUUGGAUUUUGGAUGUUUUUCAUCCAGUAUGAGGGAUUGCUGCA